rnacentral:rRNA from 1 species
AUUGAACGCUGGCGGCAGGCCUAACACAUGCAAGUCGAGCGGACGAAGGGAGCUCGCUCCUGGAUUCAGCGGCCGACGGGUGAGUAAUGCCUAGGAAUCUGCCUGGUCGUGGGGGAUAACGUCCGGACACGGGCGCUAAUAUCGCACACGUUCUGAGGGUGAAAGUGGGGGUUCUUCGGACAUCACGCUAUCAGAUGAGCCUAGGUCGUAUUAGCUAGUUGGUGGGGUAAAGGCCUACCAAGGCGACGAUCCGUAACUGGUCUGAGAGGAUGAUCCGUCACACUGGAACUGAGACACGGUCCAGACUCCUACGGGAGGCAGCAGUGGGGAAUAUUGGACAAUGGGCGAAAGCCUGAUCCAGCCAUGCCGCGUGUGUGAAGAAGGUCUUCGGAUUGUAAAGCACUUUAAGUAGGGAAGAAGAACAGUGAGUGAAUACCUUGCUAUUUUGACGUUACCAACAGAGUAAGCACCGGCUAACUUCGUG